rnacentral:rRNA from 1 species
CGCCGGCGACCGGCGGCACGGGUGGAGUAACACGUAUGCGACCUGCCCCCCGCAGGGGGAUAACCGGGAGAAAUCCCGACUAAUACCGCGUAACGCCGCGGACCUGCAUGGGUCUGCGGCCAAAGGAAGCGAUUCCGGCGGGGGAUGGGCAUGCGGCGCAUUAGCUAGUCGGCGGGGUAACGGCCCACCGAGGCGACGAUGCGUAGGGGUUCUGAGAGGAAGGUCCCCCACACUGGUACUGAGACACGGACCAGACUCCUACGGAAGGCAGCAG